rnacentral:tRNA from 10 species
GGGCUCGUAGCUCAGCCUGGUAGAGCAGCAGACUUUUAAUCUGUUGGUCGCGGGUCCAAAUCCCGUCGAGCCCA